rnacentral:lncRNA from 1 species
UGAAGGGCAUGGACAUCAGAUUGUUCUCCCCUCAGUCUUCAGUUUUUCAGCUAAGUUCUGACAUGACGACACAGACUGAACACCCUCAGACACCAGGCAAGACGAAAUCUACAUAAUAGCAAAGUGCUGGGCACACAGAAGGACAACGUGAUGAAGCGCCAUCACAUGGCUGGUAGCCUGUGGUGAGUCACCGGACUUCUCGACUCCCACCUCACUAGGGUGGAAGGAACAGUAACCACAACGCUCUGCAACUCGGGCUGCGCCCGCAUGAUUGGAAACAAUCUGUGAAAUUGUGGAGUGAACAACCCCGAAGAAAUAGACUUCUAAUUCUAGCCUUUUGGAGAUUAUUAACCCAACUCCCAGAUUCUACAGAUGAGAAAAGGGAGGCCCAGGGAGGUGGAGAAACAUGUGUAGGAUCACAGAGAUGCCUUCAGCUCUCCAAAACAACAGAAAUGAUCAAAGAUGGAGGCAAGAAGACCAGAGAACCCUAAAUGUUUACUGUCUCCAGUGUGUUUGGAAACAGCUUGGACCAGUGUAGAGUGCUGGAACAGAGAGUCAAGAGCAUCAGGCGCGCCACCCAGAUAGCAUCUGAAAGAUUGUAAACAGGAUGAUUCACAAACUGGUGGCAGCAGCUAAAAGCAGUGCAGUUCGCGACCCUCAGCACACGCCAAGAUUCUAAAUGGGAUGUUGCGACAACAAAGCAGCCUGAAGAUUCU